AAACUAGAUCCCUCAGACUUCUUUGGAAUUGUGCACCUACGGUGACUGGCUGGUAGGCACUUUUCUUUUAAUGGGGCAGCUUAGGAAAGAAAUCUUCAUUAGAUAUCACUGUCUUCAAAUGUCACAUGCUGAAGAAUAAGGAAUCAUAUUAGACUGACUUGCCAUCUGAGGCCGGCUGCUGGGAUCUGACUCUCCCCAAGAACACAAAUCAAUAGUCAACACAGAAACCACACUCCAAAGAGAAGCUGGUUCCAAGAGUGGCUAUUACUAUUUGCUUUCAAUUGAAUGACAUCCAAUCUGUCGGGAAAUGCUGUUGGCUCUCCAUCUGGAAUAUAUUCAGAGUUGAAGACUUUUCACCACCUCUUCUAAUAUCACCCUUGGGACACUUUGAUGGCUCCCUACAUCAGUCAUGGAACAUAGGAACCACGCUAGGUAUUUCAGUAGUGAGUCCUUCUCUUCCCUCCACCUUUACAGUUUUCUUCUUGUGCCUUCUAUUGGUAGAACCUAAAAGGAAACAGCUAGCCAAGAUGACAUUUUAUUUCUAGGGUUUUACCUCCAGCAUCACAAAGUGGAAUAUCAGAGGGUGGAUUUGAAGCUGUGAGAAUGUAGCUUACUGACGAUCAUGCUUUCCCUGUCUUUAGGCUUCAAGAACUGGACAACCUCAGAGCUUAGCUAUGGGUCCAUUUUGCCCCCUGUCUAUCCUCUCUUGUUAUGGAAUCUCAUCCAGUCUCAUGCUUUCUAUAUCAUAUAAAAUGAAACAGCUCCCAAAUGUGUUUCUCCAGCUUUCACUUGCACUCCAGACUAGUAUACCAUCUACAUAACUUGACAACUCUAUUUGGAUGCCCAAAAAGCAAUUGCAAACUCAAUAUUUACAAAAUGGAAUUCUUGUAGUUUCAAACCUGUUUCCCUCUUCUCAGUUAAUAUCACCACCAUUCACACAGUUUUUCAGGCAAAACACCUAAAUGUAAUUCUUGCUUUCUUCCUUUAUAUCACCCCAUUCAACCUAAUCAAAAUUCUUGAGGUUUUACCUCCACAAUACACUCAGAUCCCUCAUUUUCACCCAAUGUGCAUGGCCAUGGCUGUGAUACAAAUUGCUUUUCACAUAGACCACAAAGAUAGCUUUUCAAACAUUCUCCCUUGUUUGGUUCUUCAUUCUUCACCCCACUUCACCCCGCUUCUCACAUAGCAGCACAAGUGAUCUUUAAAAAAUAUCAAGUAUAUCAUGUUGUUUCCCCACUUAAAAUCUUCAAGGAUUUCCGUUAACAGAACAAAAAAGGCAUCUGUGACCCCACAUGACCUAGACCCUACAUCUCCGUGAUCAUCUCACACGGUUCUCCUUCUAGCCCACUGCUUUCUGGCCCCACUGGCCAGGAUGCCCUGUCAGUACAAUGCAUGGCUGGCUCUGACUAUCCUACAGAUCUGAGUUUAUUUAUUUAUUUAUUUAUUUAUUAUUUUUUUGAGACGGAGUUUUGCUCUUGUUGCCCAGGCUGGAGUACAAUCUCGGCUCACUGCAACCUCUCCUUCCUGGGUUCAAGCGAUUCUCCUGCCUCAGCCUUCCAAGUAGCUGGGAUUACAGGUGUGCACCACCAUGCCUAGCUAAUUUUUGUAUUUUUAUUAGAGACAGGGUUUUGCCAUGUUGGCCAGACUGGUCUCGAACUCCUGACCUCAGGUGGUCUGCCCACCUCGGCCUCCCAAAGUGCUGGGAUUACAGGCAUAAGCCACCGCGCCUGGCCCAGAUCUGAGUUUAAACAUGACUUUUUCGCAGAGGUCUUUCCUUAUGAUCUGUGUAAAGUUGCCCCCUUGCCUUCCAGUUACACCCUAUCAUUUCAUACUAUUUACGGUCUGUUAAUAAUUGUACUUGAAGUUUUUUUCCACGUGUUUCAUAGCUAGACUCUAACAUCUGUGUGGGUAGUGACCUUGUCUGUCUUUAAACCACUGCAUCUCCAGGAUCUAUAACAGUGUCUAGCACAUAGUGAAGUUCAAUAAACAUUCGUUGAAUUAGCAAGGCCCAUGAGAGCAGUCCAGCUUUCAAUCAUUUCCAUGCUCAUUGUUCAGGGUAAACUCAGU